CGACGGCGUCGCGCGCAGGUCCGAGGCAGGUGGGAGCAAGACUAAACUCUCGCGAGAGGGCCGGGGUGGGCCCUGGCUGGGAGCGCCGUGCCGGGAUUGGUCCGGGCGUCACGCGGGGGGAGGGGGGCGGCGACUGGGACUGUCGGGGGUGUGGCGCGCCAACCCGGGGUGAAGCCGAAAGCAGCCGCGUUGUGGUUUGCCGGAGCGCCAUGUUGGGCGUCCCGGCCGGGAGGGCUCCACGGGAUCCCGGGGGACGUGCCAUGGGCUGCGGCGGUUCGCGUCCGGGAAGCGCCACCAGCCGGGCCGCCUGCUGACGUGCCCGCUGCCCCACGCGUUAGCUGCUGUCCCCCGACGGGCCACGCUAACUUGAGCGCCGCCCCCAGGGGGCUCGGGAAGAUGUCCUGGAGACGCGCAGGAACGUGCGUGGUCACGCCCGCGGGUUUCGCUCCUCACUCGCGGCUGGGCCUCUGCGGGGCAACCUGGGUCCGUGGCGGGAGUCUGGCCCCUGUCGUCUGUGUUUUCACCUGAGGAAAGAGUGGAACUGAGGACACACGCACCCUUGUUCGUAAACUCAGACCACAGCUGCGGUUCCACAAAAGCUCGGACUGUGAUGACUAUUCUUAGUUGUCAACUUGACUAUAUCUGGAAUGAACUACAAUUCAAAAAUGGAGGACACAUCUGUGAGAGAUUUUUCUACUUGGUUUGAAGUGGAUGAAUCUACUUCUUGUCCAGACCUUUGAUCUGGGUCUUGAGGCAGGAAAGUACACCUUUAAUAUGGUCCAUACCUUCUGUUGGAAGCCUAUAUAAGGGACAUAGAAGAAGGAAGCUUUUGCUAUUUGCCUGCUUGUUCCUCACCUUGCUAGCCCAUCCAUUCUUUCACUGGCAUUGGUGCCUACUUCUUUGGGAUUACAGCAUAUGCAGAAGACCAGGUGAAAACAUCCAACCCUGUGGAACUGAGCAACUGCUGAAUUCUUGGACUUUUCAUUCACAGCUAGCCAUUGUUGGAGUAGCUGGACUGCAGAUUCUAAGUCAUUCCAUGAGACAGAGAUUUAUUCCAUAAGUUCUUUGACUGUAAAGAACCCUAACUAAUACAAAUUUUGGUACCAGAAGUGGUUCUAGAGAAACAGACAUAUAAAGAUGAAUCUUUUAAGUA